UUGCUGAGAUGGAGUCACCAAGUUUGAUUCUUCUAAGCUGUUUCCUGAUACAAUGCUACGGUAGCAGACUUUUCUUAUACUAAUGAUGUUCAAUUUAUUCUAAAUGCGGAUAAACGUUCCUUGCUAAAUGACAGUAAGGAAUAAUAGUAGUUUUAAAUUGCCAGGUUCAAGAUGUGCUAACAGUAUAGGGUGGAAUUACAAAUGUAACCAUGAAUUAAUGACUGUGUUCUUUUCUCUUGAAGGGUCCACUCACUUUCAUUACCUAAAGAAAGGGGAGGAGUUAACACUGUCCUGUGAAACAUGUCAAUGGCAGGCUGAUGUGAAUUCAGACAACAGAGUGGACUGCAGCUUCAUAGACAGUAAUUAUGCAAAUAACUCAAAAUGCACUGCAUGAAAACAGGACCUAUGCCAAAAGAUAAAGAAGAACAAACCCACCGGUUGUGAAAUCUGUGUAAUGAGGGGAUUCUUUGCCUGUGUUAAUGCUACAUCUGACUCCUGCUUCAUGCAUCCAUUCAAACCCUCUUCUCACCAUGUGGAGUCCUUCAUUGUUGCUCAGGCAGAACCAGACAUUGGGUCUGGACCUGUAAUGGAAAACUCAGUGCUUGUGUCUGGAGGAGAAUCAAUUAAUCUGACGUGCGCUUUUAAAAUAAACAGGAGUUACUAUUUUAAUCCUUUUGUGGUGUACUGGAUCAAGACUGGUGCUCAGAGCAGCACAUGUGUUUAUUCCUUUCAUUACGCUACACAUGAUGAUCAUGGUUUUGAUGACCACUGUGCCAUUGACAGAGAUCUUCUGUUAAGGAGAUCAAACACAUCAAGACCCUCCCUUGGUGACAACAACCAUAACCUGAAGAUCAGCAAAGCCACUCAUUCAGACCGUGGACAGUAUCUGUGUGUCUUAAUGGUGAACAGUAAUUACCAGCAGUACUGGGCAGUAAUAACCAACACUACAGUCAUUGUAGAUAAUCCUGGUAAGACUAUGAACCUUAUUUGAAAUUGUAUUUCCUCUCAUUUUAUUUUGUCACAUUGUGCUUCAACAGUUGAACUUGAGCAGUUAGUUGGAUUUGUAUUUUAAAAACCUUAACAUGGAUACAACCAUUAUUUACAUAUGGGACUUGGUUUCCAAAGGCAUUCAUGUUUUAUGUAAUCCAGGCUUAUCCUCAUGUGCUUGUCCUCAUGUGCUUUGAAAUGUAAUGAAUAAUAGUGAGCCAUCAGAGUUGCUAUGCAAGAUAUGAUAUACUGUAUGUCAGAAUGUAAACUGAGCACAAAUGCAGGACCACAAAAAUAAUUAAAACAGUAACUACAAGAUCAUUACUUCUUGACAGUAACUCAGAACUUCCUCAGAACAACAAAGAGCUUGAAAACAGUUCAAGUACAUGAUGUCAUCCACAA
rnacentral:lncRNA from 1 species